rnacentral:rRNA from 1 species
CCUACGGGUGGCUGCAGUGAGGAAUAUUGGUCAAUGGGCGCGAGCCUGAACCAGCCAAGUAGCGUGAAGGAUGACUGCCCUACGGGUUGUAAACUGCUUUUAUAAAGGAAUAAAGUGAGGCACGUGUGCCUUGUUGUAUGUACGUUAUGAAUAAGGAUCGGCUAACUCCGUGCCAGCAGCCGCGGUAAUACGGAGGAGCCGAGCGUUAUCCGGAUUUAUUGGGGUUAAAGGGAGCGUAGAUGGGUUGUUCAGUCAGUUGUGACAGUUUGCGGCUCAACCGUAAAAUUGCAAUUGAUACUGGCAGUCUUGAGUACAGUUGAGGUAGGCGGACUUCGUGGUGUAGCGGUGAAAUGCUUCGAUAUCACGAAGAACUCCGAUUGCGAAGGCAGCUUACUACACUGCCACUGACAUUGAUGCUCGAAAGUGUGGGUAUCAAACAGGAUUAGAUACCCGGGUAGUC